UACAGAGGUCUCAAGCGUUGUUCGGAUUCAUUGGGCGUAAAGGGUGCGUAGGUGGCGUGGUAAGUCGGGUGUGAAAUUUCGGAGCUUAACUCCGAAACUGCAUUCGAUACUGCUGUGCUUGAGGACUGGAGAGGAGACUGGAAUUUACAGUGUAGCAGUGAAAUGCGUAGAGAUCGUAAGGAAGACCAGUGGCGAAGGCGGGUCUCUGGACAGUUCCUGACACUGAGGCACGAAGGCCAGGGGAGCAAACGGG
rnacentral:rRNA from 1 species